UACGGAGGGUGCGAACGUUAAUCGGAAUUACUGGGCGUAAAGCGCGCGUAGGCGGUUCGGUAAGUGGGAUGUGAAAGCCCGGGGCUCAACCCCGGAACUGCUUUCGAAACUGCUGAGCUAGAGUACAGAAGGGGCAACCGGAAUUCCCAGUGUAGCGGUGAAAUGCGUAGAUAUUGGGAAGAACACCUGAGGCGAAGGCGGGUUGCUGGGCUGAUACUGACGCUGAGGCGCGAAAGCCAGGGGAGCAAACGGG
rnacentral:rRNA from 1 species